ensembl:lncRNA
UCACAGAAAAUAUGUAGAUUUAUUGAGAAACAUUAUCUCUAUAUAUUUUUACUUUCAUAAAUGUAUUUUCAAGCCUCUAGUUCUAUCACUGAACAAUAGCCUUUUAAAUAUAAUUUAUUUCUUAGCUGAGUAAUAUCAGAGCAAUCUUGUGUUAAAAAUUACUUUUAUUCUGGAUGAAAAAUAGAGUAUAUAACCAGAUUAGAUGGUGGUGUAUGAUCCAUUCUUUCCCACAUACCUCAAAAAAAUUACAUAACUUUUUCUAAUAAUUGCUGCAAUAUAUUCCUUUUUUAUUUCUUAUUACUCAGAGGAAGAAUGUUACAAUGUAGUGUUUUAAGUAGCUUUUACUCAGUAGCAGAACAGAGGACAUACUUUGCAUACAAAUACAGGCAUAAAAACAAUUUAAUACAUAACCUCUCAAAGUAAUAACAAGAAAGACACCAAAUCUACAGCUGUGAACUUCAGUGUUCAGGGAUAUUUCUUUUUCCUUAAUUAAAAAGGGGUGCUUUUUUGUUUUUCUUGGCUACAGUGUGGUCUGGUAAAAGCUAUAGACUUUGCAGAAUACAGUAGCAUAAAGCUAUUUCCAAUACUAUGAAUGAAGAUGGGUUUGAGGUAGAAAGGCGGUCAUGGCUUUCCUCUCAUAUAAAACAAUUUUUCUUUUCAAAAUAUCUCUGCUGCAAAUAGAUCCCAACCCAACCCUCCCCACCCUUUCCAAAAGAACAAAUUUUGUUAACUUUGAAUCUCCUCCUGGCCAUAUCCCAAGUAAAGAGAAUCCAAAGUUACCAUGUCCUGAUGACUUAUAAGCAUACAUUCUACAAUCCAAGGACUCUGUUUUUGGGGAUGAGUCUCAGUUCAUUUAGGGGCUUUUGCUUUCUCUGUUUGGUAAAUAUAUAGUAUGUUUACUGAAUCAGAUAUUAACUUGAUGCUGAGCCAAAUGCCCAACUGUACUCAGUGCAGCAGAACUCGUCCUCCAAGUGUUAAUUUAAAUUUCAUGUAAUUGCCUAUAAAAUUUUCUUCCCUAAAUGUGAUAAUCAAUAAAGGGAAAUCAAGUCUUCCAUUAAUUAGCCUUUAAAAAGUACUUCUAAAGAAGUCAUGUGAUCUCUGUAAUGCAGUGACUCAAACUCCAUGGUUGAUCAUUGCAUUUAGAAAGAAAAUAAAAGUUUCAAGUAUUGGAAAGGGCUUAUUUUUUUCUUUUCUUUCCUUUUUUUAAAGUACAAAAACCCCCCAUCAACAACAAAAACACGCUCAGAAGGAAUAAAGGACAUUCUUUUGCUUUGACAUAACAAUUAGGUGUGGGAAUAGUUUGUACUUCAUGGCUGAAAAUCUAGAUCUUGGAAAGCUGGAAAGGGUGUUUGUUUCUGGGUAAAAAAAAAAAAAUGCUCUUUGGGAAAUUUUCAAUUAAAAAGUUCUUUAAGAUUACACUUACACAAUUAAAUGUUAUUUUUCUCCAGGGUAAAAUUUGACAUUAAUCUCCAAGAGCAAUCACUUUCUUAUAUGGCUGGGAAAUCAAAUGAAAGAAAAAAAAAAGAUAAUCCAAAAGAAAUAUUAUUCCAGGUAGUAAAAGUUUUGUAGGUGAGUGUGCAAUUGUUAGUGAAGCUAAACAGUAUGCACAUAGCUGAGUGAUGAGAACCUAAUUCUUAAUAAAUAACAUCUGAGUGAAUUAAGUGACCCUGUUAUUGUGGCCAGUCAUGGAAAAUAAUUCCAGGCUUUUCAGAUACCUACUUGGUCAAAUGGCUGAUGUAUGUCAAUAACUUCAACAUCAUCAAAAUGUCAGUAGAUAAAUGAAGUCACUGUCAAAAGUAAAUAUGAGGAGCAGAAAGGAAUGUAUAAAUGUAAC